rnacentral:rRNA from 1 species
GACGAACGCUGGCGGCGUGCUUAACACAUGCAAGUCGAACGGAAAGGCCCUGCUUGCAGGGUACUCGAGUGGCGAACGGGUGAGUAACACGUGGGUGAUCUGCCCUGCACUUCGGGAUAAGCCUGGGCAACUGGGUCUAAUACCGGAUAGGAGCCAUUUUUAGUGUGAUGGUUGGAAAGUUUUUUCGGUGUAGGAUGAGCUCGCGGCCUAUCAGCUUGUUGGUGGGGUAAUGGCCUACCAAGGCGGCGACGGGUAGCCGGCCUGAGAGGGUGGACGGCCACAUUGGGACUGAGAGACGGCCCAGACUCCUACGGGAGGCAGCAGUGGGGAAUAUUGCACAAUGGGCGCAAGCCUGAGGCAGCGACGCCGCGUGGGGGAUGACGGCCUUCGGGUUGUAAACUCCGUUCGCUAGGGACGAAGCUUUUUGUGACGGUACCUAGAUAAGAAGCACCGGCUAACUACGUG